AAGGUUUUCAAGGUGCUAAAAUGCUCCAGAAAUCAGGGAGUCCAACAUCAAGAAGAGCUGGAAAAAGGCAGAUCCCAAGGAGGAAACAGGAAAUGCAAUGCAAAUAAGGAAGGAAGAGAACAAAUGAAACAUAGUACUGCCCACUGCUGAUAGCUGAACCUUUUCAGCCUGCUAUAUCAAGAUAGAAACAAGAAGAUAGAGAAUGAAGUAAAAUGAAAUAUGCCAAUGGAGCCCUCAAAAAGACAUCUUGCAAAUACAUAUCCUCGUGAAGAAGGUACUACUGCAUGAUGACCUGUGCCAACUACUAGAACGCCUCCGAAACAGUGGACAAAAACUCUAAAUCAUUUUUUGCUAUUGUAGGGGAACUGUUGAGUCAUGGCCUGAACCACUGAUUGAGCACCUGGGGAAGGGACCCUGUCAGCCCUGGGAGCACAGGUGAAGGCAAUUCAGCUGUGUGACCUGAAGGGGUGGGACCCUGGCUGCACCUCUCUUAGACUCCAUUUAAGGGCUGACUGCCACUGAGGAAGGAUCUUUUCCUGGAUUUCUCCCUUGUGAAGUUUUCCCUGCAAGCCUAGAUCUUCAGACAUGGUUCUUUGACCCAUGGAACAGCCAAAGGACACCUGCAUUUUACUUGUGAACGGAUUAUGUGUGGAACUCCUCCUGUGGUGGUACCAAAGCAAUGCAAUGUCUUCAUAGCACCAGGAGUGCUCUCCCAGCCUGAAGGUGUGUCAGUUCCAAGCCAGCCUUUCACCAAAACACCCAGACGUUGGCAGCAUCAAACUCUGCUCUGAGUUGCAACCACACAGCAUGGCGUGACCUGCUUGAGCCGCACAGGUCUGCUGCUAAGUGGAGAAGGAUCCCAGUGACCACACUGGGACUACAGCAGCAGGAGAGGUUGUAUCUUUGGAGAGGCUCCACCAGGCUGCACUUACCAGAUCUUGCUCCUGUCACUCAGUUCUGCUGGAGGUGCUGAAGAAGGUGCACUCUCGUGUGCCUUUACCAACCUACACAGUACUGCAGCCCAGCGAGUGUGAGAAGAGCAGCUCUGCUGGCCUUGGCCAACAGCUCCCCAUUUGCCAGAGCUUUCUGGGAGAAUUGCAGGAGUUUGAAAAACACCCCAUGUCUGGCAGCAUGGCAUCAUCUGUACCCACAGCUUGGCGUUCACAUUUUUGUUAUGAAAUAAAACUUCUCUGUAAAUGGCACGUACCAGCUUUCCACCCUCCCUGUGUCUUAACCACAAAUGCCUGCCUCCUGACAGCUUCUCCCCUGCUAGUUUGGUUCUCCUGCAGCGGCUGCCUGUGCUCCCCCAGUCUGUCUGCAUGGACGCAGCAGGAUGCGAGCUGAAAGAAACAAAAUUUUCAGUAGAAAAUAUCCACAUGGAGCAUCCUUCCAGGUCAUUGGGAUGGGAUCCCCGUCCUUGGAGAGCUGUCCUGGAUCAUCUCCCUCGAUCUCUGUGAGACACAUCCCCCAUUAAACUGUCCAUCACGUCACUGAAGGGCCAUUGAUGUAUCUGAUUAGCGAGGGAGCUCUGAAGAAACCCAUCUGUCUUAGCAUUUGGAUGAGUAUUUAUCACUUCCAUGGGUUUCUUUUGUCCAAAGGAAUCGUUUACUCUGAUGUGAAGCAAUGAGAGAUCUGGUUUCUUUGGGGGUUUCAGCAGGAAGCUGUGAGCCUCCCUGAGCCUCGUUUUAAUCUCCUAUUGUCAUAAAUCAGGAAUAACCUCAAGAAAGCCAGCAAAAAGAAGCUUGUGAAAACUGAUGUUCAAGACUCGGGGCCUCUGAUCUCCACCAGCACUGGAGAUGAGCUCAGUCCCUGAAUGUUUUCUCCCUCUGUAUGUGAAUCUAUUGGUCUCAGGAGAUGCUCAGACAUGGCUCUUGCAUGCUGAACACAGCAUCCAGGCUUUGAGAGUGGCUCCUCACAUGAUUUUACUGACCGGGUAGAAGGAGAAGAUAUGAGGACUUGUGUGGAAAUUCUCUUCUUAGGGAAAGCUCUGGCCAAACCAAUAGAAACAAGAAGUUUCACUGUGCAGAAAGAAUUCUGAACCUAAUGUCUUCAUCAUAGGGGUGCUGCAACAAACUUGUUACUUGCUUCAAUUACAAUGAUGGAUAUGGGGCAGAUUCAGAAAAGAAAUUGAAAGAGUGAGUGGCAUCAGAGCAGAAUACUUUUUAACUGUGAGUGACCAUAGGAGUCCCAGGAAGCACUGUUUUGUCCUUUGUUCUUUCCAAAUACCAGACAUGGUCAGGAAAAGUGAUUUAGUGAUUUCUGCUCAUUCGAAAUUCUUAAAAUCUGCACUCCUUUUCUGUUUCAGAUAAAUGGACAGAUUCUGCUUAAAACCUAUGCUUAAAUGGAGUGCCAGGAUAAGAAAAUAUUUUAGGAGUUUGCUGAUACACAAACUUAAGAAUAAAU
ensembl:lncRNA